GACGAACGCUGGCGGCGUGCUUAACACAUGCAAGUCGAACGAUGAACCAGGGCUUGCCCUGGGGAUUAGUGGCGAACGGGUGAGUAACACGUGGGCAACCUGCCCCUGACACUGGGAUAACCCCGGGAAACCGGGGCUAAUACCGGAUACGAACCUUGAGGGCAUCUUCGAGGUUGGAAAGUUUUUCGGUCAGGGAUGGGCCCGCGGCCUAUCAGCUUGUUGGUGGGGUAACGGCCCACCAAGGCGACGACGGGUAGCCGGCCUGAGAGGGCGACCGGCCACACUGGGACUGAGACACGGCCCAGACUCCUACGGGAGGCAGCAGUGGGGAAUCUUGCGCAAUGGGCGAAAGCCUGACGCAGCAACGCCGCGUGCGGGAAGACGGCCUUAGGGUUGUAAACCGCUUUCAGCAGGGACGAAGAUGACGGUACCUGCAGAAGAAGCUCCGGCUAACUACGUGCCAGCAGCCGCAGUAAAAC
rnacentral:rRNA from 1 species